GACGAAGGAUGCAAGCGUUAUCCGGAUUCAUUGGGUUUAAAGGGAGCGUAGGUGGCCUUAUAAGUCAGUGGUGAAAUCUCUGGGCUUAACCCAGAAAUUGCCAUUGAUACUGUAGGGCUUGAGUACAGUUGCUGUGGGCGGAAUAUGACAUGUAGUGGUGAAAUACAUAGAGAUGUCAUAGAACACCGAUUGCGAAGGCAGCUCACAAAACUGUAACUAACACUGAGGCUCGAAAGUGCGGGGAUCAAACAGG
rnacentral:rRNA from 1 species